ensembl:lncRNA
ACCUACCGUUUGUUUUUUUUUUUCUUCCAAUCACUGUGACAAGCUCUGAAAGGGUCAAAAUUCUCAGAGAUACACCAGUACUCGGCAACUGUCGAGCAACACAUGAUUUCAUGGAGAUGCUAGUGACCCUGAUCCUUUCUGCUCUCCGGACCUGCCCGAUCCGUCCGGACGCCUUUCCUCUAGAUGGAGCUCUCACCAACUCCAAGUCCACAUGGACGUUCUCGCUGUGGUUGCUGGGACUACGGUUGCUGCGAUGGCCUCGGGACUCUGCGACUACAACAUGCUGUUUUACACUCGCGUCUCCUUUAGUGAACAGUGCAUUAGUUCGACAGACAGACUUCAUGUUAAGGAAAACUGGUUACUGGACUGUCCAUCCCAGUGGCUUGUCUAGCUCUACUCUCAACCAGUAGCACACAAAGGCUCAGGACAGGACACAGCGCAGUGUGAUUCCAUUCAGAGUGACAUCAAGCCGAAUCCAGACGUCCUCAGGCAUUUUCCCCACUGCUUGUCGUGAACAGCACUGCGGUCAAAAGCAGCGUGUUUGCCCUGCCAGAUCUGCUCUGAUCCGGUGUGAUGGCUGUACAUCUCUCAGAUCUUGCUCCGUCUUGCUUUCACCUGGCUGACAGAGAACUCUGAGACUUUCACUGCGCCUAUUAUUUAUGACGACGGUUUUGCAAGCUCGCAAGUACGUGCCAAGCGUUAUUCAGCUAAUUGCCUCAAGGUUAAGCCAGGUGGCAUGUGCGUACAGCGUUUCUCAAGGUGUCAUCACCGAGUCCUUAAUAACAUCAAAAACGCUGACAGAAGAACUAAGAGUUCGGGUUUUUAUUUUUUUAUUUUCUUUCCUCGUGUUUUUUCCCCUCUGCUCCUCAUCUCUCUACCCGGUGAUGACAUUUUUACACCGCAGCCCGUUAACGUUUGAUUUACAUUCAUACUUCACUUUUAGAAGGUAUUAUUCCAUAGAUCAUGCCAUUGGUGGUGGUGUUUUUUUGGUUUUUUUUUUUAAACACACACUGUCUAAAUUGCUAAGAGUACUCUGCGCUAAAAGUGACAUUAAAAGCGACGCCAUCUCUGAUUUAUUGAACCUAAAUAAAAAAAUAAAUAGCAUAGGCGUUUACCUGCAGCACUCAAGGCUCAUCUUUACCUUCUUGUAAUAUGCUUAUUUUAUCGACGUACAUACACAAAAGCCAUGCAUGUUUCCUAGUUUACAAAUGCAUGUAGUCACAAGUUCAGUAGACAUGUGCUGCAAGAUCGGAUUCCAGACAGAAAGAUCGGUAUCUCAGAGAGUGUUCACGCAUGCAGAGUUUAGUCAGUUUGAAUGAAACCCCGCCGUGCGUUUUUUUUCUGCAGGUGAGAAAGCGGAAAGAACAGUCAGGUGUGGAACAAAACAACCGGUCCGAGAGCGUCUGAGCGAGGUGACCGUGACUGCAGUGAGAAAGUGAUUCGAGUGCAGAAUGAGUCAACUCAACUGCAGGAAGUGACUCAAACACGCGGCGUUCUUUGUAGACGUGGGUACAAACUGAUCCAAAGAACGGAGCCGUAGAGCUGCAGACGUGACAUUUGUUCUGGAUAUAUGGACUAACAAGCAAACAAACAAACAACUCUAGCUGUGAUGCACAAAAUGGUUUCAAAUACUUACUUAUAUAACGACGUUUAUUCAGCACCGGAUCCGUAUCCUCUGUCCAACAUAACGCCAGUUUUCGAAGGUUUGUUUGCCGUCUUUUCCAGUCGCUGUAUUCCUGACCAAUAAAAUAAGAGUUUUAAAAUGCCAUGUACACACA